AGUGGAAUUGCUGGGUCAUGUGGUAACUAUUUAACUUUUUGAGAAACUGCCAAACUGUUUUCCAAGUCAGCGGUACCAUUUUACUUUCCCACCAGCAGU
rnacentral:pre_miRNA from 1 species